rnacentral:rRNA from 1 species
UAAAGAUUAAGCCAUGCAUGUAUGAGUACAAGCCUGAUUAAGGUGAAACCGCGAAUGGCUCAUUAAAUCAGUUAUGAUUUCCUGGCCGAGACAGUGAUACAUGGAUAACUGUGGUAAUUCUAGAGCUAAUACAUGCAACCGAGCUUCUUGUGCGCUUCGGCGCGCUGGAGGCGCUUUUAUUGGCUGAAAACCGAUGAUCGGAGCUAGUCUUCGGUCGUUAUUAGAUGAAUCACAAUAACAUUGUGUGGAUCGUACGGUCUUGUACCGACGACGCGCCUUUCAAAUAUCUGCCUUAUCAGCUCUCGACGGUUUGCUAGUGGCUGACCGUGGCUCUGACGGGUAACGGGGAAUCUGGGUUCGGUUCCGGAGAGGGAGCCUGAGAGAUGGCUACCACAUCUAAGGAAGGCAGCAGGCGCGUAACUUACCCACUCCCAGUUCAGGGAGGUAGUGACAAUAAAUACCUUACAGAGGUCUCGUUAACCGAGAUCUCUCAAACGGAAUGAGUACAACGUGAAUCCUUUAACGAGGAUCGACUGGAGGGCAAGCCUGGUGCCAGCAGCCGCGGUAAUUCCAGCUCCAGUAGCGUAUAUUAAAGCUGUUGCGGUUAAAAAGCUCGUAGUUGGAUAUCAGUGCGUGUCCGGUCCGGUAUGCUCGGCGUCGUGACUUACCGUCGCGUGCCGGGCUUCCAAAUAUCGGCUGGCCGCAUUAAUUUGUGCCGGAUCCGUUGGCGGGCCGCUCUUCGGAGGGGCCUACUGUCGACCGGCGACGUUACCUUGAACAAAUUAGAGUGCUCAAAGCAGGCUCUUUAUGCCUGUAUACAUAUUCAUGGAAUUGGAGAAUACGUCCCUGGCUCGAYUUGGUUGGUUUUGAGAGUCGAAGGGAAAUGAUUAA